CAGAAGACGACCAUACGUACCGUAGUGCCACAAAUCAAAAAUCUCCGAGACCAGUGCCGCGAUCGUAAAGUUUCAGUGCGUGUUGCAACUCUCACGAACGAAAGGUAUCCGUGCAGUCUGUGUCGCAUGAACAGCCGGAAAACUGAAAAAUAAUCAGCGCCAAAAAACGUGAAAUUCGCCUCGCCGUGAACAAUCUCGCGGAGGAAAAGGUGUGCAGUGUUUCUCGCUUGUCAGCGCAACAGACGGAUGAUCAUUGAACCAUCCGGUAACGAUUAGAUCUUAGUGAGAUCAACAAUAAAAAGAGCCGAUACAUCCGGAAAAGCACGGCACGCGAGACGAAAAAGGCGUGAUAUCGUCACUCACCUGAGUUUCGGAAAGGAGAAUAAUACCCAAAAGGCAGCUGUAAUCGUUCGUCGGAAGCACGGAAGUUCGACGAACAGAAGUGUCUGUCAGACGGAAAGCGGCGUUAAGAGCAUCUCGGAACCAAUUCACGGAGCCACGGAAUCCGGGCAGCGCGAACAGAAACCCCACUGGCUGGGUAAGUUCUUU